UACAGAGACUGCAAGCGUUAUUCGGAUUCACUGGGCGUAAAGGGAGCGUAGGUGGCCUUAUAAGUCAGUGGUGAAAUCUCUGGGCUUAACCCAGAAAUUGCCAUUGAUACUGUAGGGCUUGAGUAUAGUUGCCGUUGGCGGAAUAUGACAUGUAGUGGUGAAAUACAUAGAGAUGUCAUAGAACACCGAUUGCGAAGGCAGCUGACGAAACUAUAACUGACACUGAGGCUCGAAAGUGCGGGGAUCAAACAGG
rnacentral:rRNA from 1 species